CCUACGUGUGGCAGCAGUGAGGAAUAUUGGUCAAUGGGCGCGAGCCUGAACCAGCCAAGUAGCGUGAAGGAUGACUGCCCUACGGGUUGUAAACUUCUUUUAUAAAGGAAUAAAGUGAGGCACGUGUGCCUUUUUGUAUGUACUUUAUGAAUAAGGAUCGGCUAAAUCCGUGCCCGCAUCCGCGGUAAUCAGGAGGAUCCGAGGGUUACCCGGAUUUAUUGGGUUUAAGGGAAGCGUAGAUGGGUUUUUAAGUCAGUUGUGAAAGUUUGCGGCUCAACCGUAAAAUUGCAAUUGAUACUGGCAGUCUGGAGUACAGUUGAGGUAGGCGGAAUGCGUGGGUGUAGCGGUGAAAUGCUUAGAUAUCACGAAGAACUCCGAUUGCGAAGGCAGCUUACUAAACUGUGACUGACAUUGAUGCUCGAAAGUGUGGGUAUCAAACAGGAUUAGAUACCCGUGUAGUC
rnacentral:rRNA from 1 species